rnacentral:snRNA from 1 species
GUGCUUGCUUUGUGCAGCACAUAGACUAAAAUUGGAAUGAUACAGAGAAGAUUAGCAUGACCCCUGCACGAAGAUGACAUGCAAGUUCGUGAGGCGUUCUAUAUUUUU